rnacentral:rRNA from 1 species
UUGUUGGUUUGUCACAGCCAAGGUAAUGACUAAGGGAGACAGUCGGGGGCAUCUGUACUGCAGCGCUAGAGGUGAAAUUCUUGGACCGUUGCAAGACAAACAACAGCGAAAGCAUUUGCCAAGUAUGUUUUCAUUAAUCAAGAACGAAAGUUAGAGGUUCGAAGGCGAUCAGAUACCGCCCUAGUUCUAACCAUAAACGAUGCCAACCAGCAAUCUAUCAAGUGUUAUAUCCAUGACCUGAUAGGCAGCUUCUGGGAAACCAAAGUCUUUGGGUUCCGGGGGAAGUAUGGUUGCAAAGCUGAAACUUAAAGGAAUUGACGGAAGGGCACCACCAGGAGUGGAGCCUGCGGCUUAAUUUGACUCAACACGGGGAACCUCACCAGGCCCAGACACCGGAAGGAUUGACAGAAUGAGAGCUCUUUCUCGAUUCGGUGGGUGGUGGUGCAUGGCCGUUCUUAGUUGGUGGAGUGAUUUGUCUGGUUAAUUC